CGUCGAAGGUAUACCGACAAGGAGUGCUGGAGCGAAUAGAAGUGAGCAUGCAGGCAUGAGUAGCGAUAAUUAAUGUGAGAAUCAUUAACGCCGUAAACCCAAGGUUUCCUACGCGAUGCUCGUCAUCGUAGGGUUAGUCGGGUCCUAAGCUGAGUCCGAAAGGGGUAAGCGAUGGCAAAUAGGUUAAUAUUCCUAUACCAACAUUAGUGUGCGAUGGAAGGACGCUUAGGGCUAAGGGGGCUAGCGGAUGGAAGUGCUAGUCUAAGGUCGUAGGAGGUUAUACAGGCAAAUCCGUAUAACAAUACUCCGAGAACUGAAAGGCUUUUUGAAGUCUUCGGAUGGAAAGAAGAACCCCUGAUGCCGUCGAGCCAAGAAAAGUUUCUAAGUUUAGCUAAUGUUGCCCGUACCGUAAACCGACACAGGUGGGUGGGAUGAGUAUUCUAAGGCGCGUGGAAGAACUCUCUUUAAGGAACUCUGCAAAAUAGCACCGUAUCUUCGGUAUAAGGUGUGCCUCCCUUUGUAUUAGAAUUCACUUCGAAAGCAAAGAAGGUUACAACAAAGAGUCCCUCCCGACUGUUUACCAAAAACACAGCACUCUGCUAACUCGUAAGAGGAUGUAUAGGGUGUGACGCCUGCCCGGUGCUCGAAGGUUAAUUGAUGGGGUUAGCAUUAGCGAAGCUCUUGAUCGAAGCCCGAGUAAACGGCGGCCGUAACUAUAACGGUCCUAAGGUAGCGAAAUUCCUUGUCGGUUAAAUACCGACCUGCAUGAAUGGCGUAACGAGAUGGGAGCUGUCUCAAAGAGGGAUCCAGUGAAAUUGUAGUGGAGGUGAAAAUUCCUCCUACCCGCGGCAAGACGGAAAGACCCCGUGGACCUUUACUACAGCUUGACACUGCUAUUUGGAUAAGAAUGUGCAGGAUAGGUGGGAGGCUUUGAGUAUAUGACGCCAGUUGUAUAUGAGCCAUUGUUGAGAUACCACUCUUUCUUAUUUGGGUAGCUAACCAGCUUGAGUUAUCCUCAAGUGGGACAAUGUCUGGUGGGUAGUUUGACUGGGGCGGUCGCCUCCCAAAUAAUAACGGAGGCUUACAAAGGUUGGCUCAUAGCGGUUGGAAAUCGCUAGUAGAGUAUAAAGGUAUAAGCCAGCUUAACUGCAAGACAUACAAGUCAAGCAGAGACGAAAGUCGGUCUUAGUGAUCCGGUGGUUCUGUGUGGAAGGGCCAUCGCUCAAAGGAUAAAAGGUACCCCGGGGAUAACAGGCUGAUCUCCCCCAAGAGCUCACAUCGACGGGGAGGUUUGGCACCUCGAUGUCGGCUCAUCGCAUCCUGGGGCUGGAGCAGGUCCCAAGGGUAUGGCUGUUCGCCAUUUAAAGCGGUACGCGAGCUGGGUUCAGAACGUCGUGAGACAGUUCGGUCCCUAUCUGCCGUGGGCGUAAGAAGAUUGAAGAGAUUUGACCCUAGUACGAGAGGACCGGGUUGAACAAACCACUGGUGUAGCUGUUGUUCUGCCAAGAGCAUCGUAGCGUAGCUAAGUUUGGAAAGGAUAAACGCUGAAAGCAUCUAAGCGUGAAGCCAACUCUAAGAUGAAUCUUCUCUAAGCUCUCUAGAAGACUACUAGUUUGAUAGGCUGGGUGUGUAAUGGAUGAAAGUCCUUUAGCUGACCAGUACUAAUAGAGCGUUUGGCUUAUCUUAUAAA
rnacentral:rRNA from 1 species